AGCACACAAGUCCAUUUAUUUCUUGGCUUCUCCCCACUGGUCUCCACCUAGGGCCCAGUGCUGUGGGUAUGAGACUCCAGCCGCACCUGGGCUGUCCAGAUGGCAGGGCCUGGGCUUUUCUGCCAGUGUGGGGGGACAGUGCAAAAGGUGGACGGAUACCCUGGAUCCACACUGGACCUGGCUUGACAUCACAGCUCUGCUAAAUGACAACUCCGGCACCUCUCCGAGGGCACAGCCUGCUUCUCACUUGGGUGGGACUGCCAGGCAGUGAGCCAUGGCCCGCCCCCAUGGACAUUGCCCCCUCUCCAGCAGCUGUGGCUCUGCGCUGGCUUCUGGGGCCACGUUGGACCUGAUGGCACCUGUCUCCCACCAACGUUGUUCUGCUCUGGGCAAGCCCAGACCGGCCUCCCUUCUGGUUCCAUCCAACAGGCUCUCAUGCAGCUCCAA